UGUCUGGUUGGACUUGAUGCAUGGCAUUUGCAUGACACCUAACAGCCUAGCUCUGGAUGUGUCACUGAACAAACAUGGCCUAUCCAGCAAAUACUAAUGGCAGUGCUACAGAGACUGUCAGGACUUGUUGGCUUUGCAAACCCUUGAGGCCGGCGUUCUAACAUGCAGCUGUGUAUGCCUGUGUCUCCAAAUCCUCAGCAGUUCUUAAUGGACAGAACACUGAGCUGCAAAUACCUGUGAUUUCUUUUUAUUUCUUUUUCUUUUUUUUGAUUUUUUUUAUCCUGCUAUGCUUCUUGGGAAAGAAUGCCUUUGGAUGAGCAGGAACUGAUUUGGGCGUUGGAGGUAUUGAAGCAAGUUUCUUAAUUGCAUGGAACUCUAAGAGUGGAAAGGCAAACUUCAGGGGUGGUGUUUUCUGCACCCUCUGAAUCAAUCAGCAACAGGAAAAGAACUAGAAAGACUUGUUAGGGAUUACUAAGCUGUAUUUAUGUUACUUGAAUAUUUUGGCAAGCUUGACCACAUACUCAGCUGCGUUCAAAUACGAGAUGACUAAAGGAGCAGUGGUUUGCUUUGCUUAACUCGAAAAUGUGAGUACUUGCACUGUUAAAUGAUUAUGCCUAUGUGCCAUUUUGGUAAAUAUUUUCAGUAGACAAGCCUAUAUGGACUGCUGCUGCUGCAGAUAAAAUCUGUGGAGGAAUGCUUGAAUUUAGAAUUUGUUUCCAGGAAUGUAUCAAGCUGUUUUGUGUUUGUAUAGAGAUAUAUUUUAAAGGAUGUUUAUGGGAAGUACAUUUGCUGUAACUAUUCUCAGUGAGUUUGUAUGGCAGAUAAGCUACAGAGCAAGUAAAGACUUUGUCAUGAUAACACCUAUCAUAAAUUUUCUCUGCCUCUUGCAUACCUCCGUAAAGACAUGGACUGUAAAUGUGGCAAAUAAAUAACAGACUUCA